GCCCUCCAGGACCGGAAAGCUCUCCA
rnacentral:rRNA from 1 species